rnacentral:sRNA from 1 species
ACUGAGCGCGUUAGGGAUUGUAGCGGCAUCCUUUUUUUGAGGAAAUUUCUGCCUUUCGCAGAAUGACAAUAAAAAAGAUAUAGCGUAAAGCCCGACCUUUA